UAAGGUGAUUAUCGCAAUGGGGCCCACCUCUUACCAUUCCGAACAGAGAAGUUAAGCCCAUUAGCGCCGAUGGUACUGCCACAGGUGGGAGAGUAGGUCGUUGCCUUUC
rnacentral:rRNA from 1 species